rnacentral:misc_RNA from 1 species
GAAAUGCGAUAAGUAAUGUGAAUUGCAGAAUUCAGUGAAUCAUCGAAUCUUUGAACGCACAUUGCGCCCGCCAGUAUUCUGGCGGGCAUGCCUGUCCGAGCGUCAUUUCAACCCUCGAACCCCUCCGGGGGGUCGGCGUUGGGGAUCGGCCCUUUCACCGGGUGCCGGCCCCUAAAUACAGUGGCGGUCUCGCCGCAGCCUCUCAUGCGCAGUAGUUUGCACACUCGCACCGGGAGCGCGGCGCGUCCACGUCCGUAAAACACCCCAACUUCUGAAAUGUUGACCUCGGAUCAGGUAGGAAUACCCGCUGAACUUAA